ACUCUCUAGUGCUCUUUCCCAUCAAAUCCGAACACUGGUAUUGCUGGUUGUAAGGGAGGAAAAGCAGUGCUGGCCUCACAGCCCUGGAGUCCAGUGUGCACUGUGUGCUAGCUUCAAACAGGG
rnacentral:snoRNA from 1 species